AAUUGAAGUAUGAUUUGCUGCCCCAC
rnacentral:piRNA from 1 species